CCAUCAUUGGUCUUAAUCUAUUAACACCUUUGUUAUAACCUUAUAUAACACCAUACACAAGCUUAUUAACUGAAAUUGUGUAAUUCUUUUCGUACUUUGAACUUUUGGAAAAAGCACCAGUAAAGUUCUAUUAAUACAUAAGUUCAAUUAAUGCCCCUCUAAAACUUGCCUCACCAUACAACAAACCGAUACGCUAAUAUAUCCCAUUGUGAUUGAUAAAGUCUGGUAUAAAAACCAUUGGCUCCUGGUGCUUUCCACGGGGCAAUUGUAAAAAUUGCUUUGUGAAUUUUCUCAUUACCAAUUCCUACUAAUAGACU
rnacentral:lncRNA from 1 species